AACCUGCUUCAGCCCAGUCCCUAUUUUAGCUAGUCCUCAAUUUGGUCUGGUGUCUGAGCUCCACCCCUGGAGUAGAGUCCCACCUUCUACCUCAAAUUGACUAGAAACAGGCACAAAGGACCUUUCGGGAUGAUGAAAACAUUCUACAUCUUGUUUUGUGUGGUGGUAACAUGGGAUUAUAUGAUUGUUAGAACUCUUCAAAUUGAACAUUUAAGAUGUGUGUGAUAUAUUGUAUAUAAAUUAUACUUCAAUAUACCUUAAUUCCCUCUCCAGAGAAAGCCACUUUAUUAGUUUGGUGUGUAUCAUGCCAAUUUAGGUUUUCUUUAAUUUUAAGCAAUAAAAAACAAUGCUGCAAAAAUUAUCUUUGCAAAUUUUGACAAUUGGAUAACUGAUAAGUGGUAUAACAAUGUUGCAGAUUACAUUUCUCUGUUAAGUAGUGAGGUUGUGCCUCUGUUCACAUGUUUAUUGGUUACUUGUAGCUCUGUAAAUUGCCUGUUCACAUGCUUUGCCUGUUUUCCUGGCACAAAAGAUAUUACCUUUAUCUUACUGAUUUUGCAGAAGGGCUGUAUUUAGUAUAGAUAGUACUUGUUUCUCUGUUUUAUAUGUUGUAAAUAUUUUCUCCUAGUCUGUAGCUUGUUUUAAUCUUGUCUGUGUUGUCUUUCUAUAUACUGAAGUUUUUCCAUUUUGAUGUAGUUAAAUGCAUCAGUCUUUUUAUUUAUGGCUUUUUUCUUCCCCAACUGAAGCCUAUGAAAAAUACUCUCCUAGAUGGAGAACAUCUUGGCUAACACAGUGAAACCCCGUCUCUACUAAAAAUACAAAAAAUUAGCCAGGCAUGGUGGCAGACACCUGUAGUCCCAGCUACUUGAGAGGCUGAGGCAGGAGAAUGGCGUGAACCCUGGAGGUGGAGCUUGCAGUGAGCCGAGAUCGUGCCACUGCACUCCAGCCUAGGUGACAGAGCGAGACUCCAUCUCAAAAAAAAAAGAAAAGAAAAGAAAAGAAAAAUACUCUCCUAAGGACAGGCGUGGUGCCUCACACCUGUAAUCCCAGCACUUUGGGAGGCCAAGGCGGGUGGGUCGUUUGAGACUAGUUAGAGACUAGCCUGGGCAACAUGGUGAAACCUCCUCUCCACAAAAAAAUACAAAAAUUAGUCAGGCAUGGUGGCGCGUGCCUAUAGUCCCAGCUACUUGAGAGGCUGAGGCAGGAGGAUCACCUGGACCCAGGAAGGCCGAGGCUGCAGUGAGCCAUGAUCACACCACUGCACUCCAGCCUGGGCGACAGAAUGAGACCCUGUCUCAAAAAAAAAGAAAAAAAAGAAAAGAAAAAUACUCCCCUAUACUGAUAUAGUACUAUUCUAAGUUCUAAAAAUCUAUUUGGAACUUAAUAAGUGGCAUAAGAUAGGACUCUGAUUUUUUUUUUUCAUAUGGAUACCCAGAUUCCCAGGAGCAUCUGUUGAAGAGAUCCUUUCCCCUAUUAGAACUUGAAAUGCAACAUUUACCAUAUACUUAACUAAAUGCCAUAUACUUUACCCAUAUAUGCCUGUAUCUAUAUGAGAAUAUAUAGGUUAAACACAAGGAUCAUAUUGUACAUACUAUUCCAUAUUAUGUUCUUCCUCAAAUUAAUUAUAAAUUUAGCACUAUCCAAUCAAACCAAUUCAUCUUAACUAACACCCAAAGCAACAGUUUGAACUGGAACAUAAGUUCUUAUAUUUUCUAAAUCUGUUGGACUCAACAAAACAAUGACUAAGUGGAGCAAUGGUUUCAUUAGAGGAGAAGAAUUAGGCAGUUACUUGCCUUUCCAGCAGAAACCAUGUUUUGGGUAACCAAAAAGCCCAGUUAAUGAGGGAAAGUGCUUCCUUCUAGAUUAGGAGAAUGUUAACUAAUACACAUAGAAAAAUGAUAGAAUUCAAAGAUUAUUUUAUGACACCGUCCCCCCCCCACCAUGAAAUAAUUGAUUCAGAAAAGGAUCAUGGAUGGAUGCUUGUAUCAUCAGGUGCUAUAGCCAUGAGGGAAAAACAUAACUUUACAAAAGAGGAAUUAUAUCAUCAUCACCAGCUUAACCCAGUUUGAUCUGUUUGGUUGGGAUUUUUUUCCUAGCUCCUUGAGAUAGAUGCUUUGAUGGUUUCUUUCCAGCCUUUUUUAAAUUCAUAGGUUUUGGCCAGGUGUGGUGGAUCAUGCCUGUAAUCCCAGCAUUUUGGGAGGCCAAGGCAGGCAGAUCACUUGAAGCCAGGAGUUUGAGACCAUCCUGGCCAACAUGGUGAAACCCCAUCUCUACUUAAAAUACAAAAAAUUAGCCGGGCAUGGUGGCGCAUGCCUGUAAUCCCAGCUACUCAGGUGGCUGAGGCACGAGAAUCACGUGAACCUGAGAAGUGAAGGUUGCAGUGAGCCCAGAUCACACCAUAGCACUCCAGCCUGGACAACAGAGCGAGACCCUGUCUCAAAAGAAAAAUCAUAGGCUUUUAAAAAUCAAGUGUAUUUUUUAAUUAUGUUCUUAAUAUUUGUGUAUUUCUCUAUAUAUAAUUUUACCAAAAUUUUUAAAAAUACAAAAAUAAAAAGGAUUCAAUAUGGAAUAAGAUAAGGCCACUACUAUCUCAUUUGUUGCCUUUGCAUAAAUGAGACAAAAGAGAUUCCUCUAGGAAGAUGCCACCCAGUUGGCACAUGGCUUUGUGCAAAUUAGCAAAAGAGAUUAAUUACAAAUUAGCAAAAGGGAUCACUUUAAUCAGGUUUAUUGGUGUAUAAUUUACACACAGUAAAGUUUGUUCUUCUAGGGUGUAAAGUUCUAUGAGUUCUGGCAAGUGUAUGUAGUCAUGUAACUACCACCACGAUCAAGAUACAGAAUAUUUUCAUCACCCCACCAAGUGCCCUUGUACCAUAUAGUCAACCCUCUCUCUUCAGCCUCAGCACCCCCAAAAAACCACUGAUCUGAUUUCUGUCCUAUAACUUUUGCUUUUCUCGGAAUGUCAUAUAAAUGAAACAAGACUUUUUAUGUCUGAGAUUCAUUUAACAUAGUGCUUUUGAGCUUCAUUCAUGUUGUUGCUUGUAUUAAUUGCUUGGUCCUUCUUAUUGCUAAGUAGUAUGCCAUUGUAUAGUACAAUUUAUUUAUUCACCAGAUGAUGGACACUUGGGUUGUUUCUAGGUUAGGCCAAUUACCAAGAAAGCUGCUAUAAAUAUUUGCAUGCAAGUCUUUGUGUGGACCUAUGUUUUUAUUUCUCUUGGGUAAAUACUGAGGAGUGGGAUUGUUGAGUCACAUGGGAAGUGUAUGUUUAACUCUAUACAAAACUCUUUUCCAAAGUGGCUGUACCAUUUUACAUUCCCACUAGAAUCAUAUGAGAGUUCCAGUUGCUCCAAUUCUGACAUGCACUUGGUUUUGUCAUUUUUAAAGCCACUCUAACAGAUGCAGAUAUUCUAAUCUUUUACCUGUAUUUUUAAAAUUCAGUUGUUGUUUUCUUAAUAUCGAAUUGUGAGAGUUCUUUAUAUAUUCUGGAUAAAGUCCUUUAUUAGCUUUGUUAAGUUACAAAUAUUUCAUCCCUGUCUAUAGUUCAGCUUUCAUUUCCUUAACAGCAUCUUAGAAAGGGCAGUAGUCUUUAUUUGGGUACAUCCAGUUUAUUUAUUCACCGUUUAUGGUUUGUCCUAUUUGUGUCCUACCAAAAAAAGUUUGCCAAACACAAGAUCACAAAUAUUUUCUAUUAUAUUUUCUUCUAGACAUUUUAUAAUUUUAAUAAUUUUAAAGUUGUAGCUUAAUUUUGCAAUAGCUAAAGGAUAUACACUGUGUUAUUUCACCCUUUGCUGUUUGUUGAGACUAAAUUUAUGCCUUUCAUGUAGUGAAAUUUUGUAGAUGCUCCUUGUACCUAAAAAUAAACUGUAUUCUGCAGUUUUAGAGUGCAGGGUUCUACAUUUGUCAGUUAUGUUAAGAUUACUUGUGCAAUUCAAAUAUUUGUUAGUCUUACUUAUUUUUGUCUUAUUUUACCAAUACUGAGAAAAGUUUAUACAAUGAAACACCAUGCGGCAAUAAUAAUGAACAAACUACUGCCGCAUGUAACCAAAUGGAUGAAUCUCACAAACAUAAUGUUGUUAUAUUAUUAAAAGCUGUAUUAUUAGAUGCAUGCAAAUUUAGAAUUAUUUGAUCUUCCUGCUGAAUUGACUCUUUUAUCAUUACGAAAUGUCCCUUUUUGUCUUUACUACCACUUCUUGCUUUAAAGUCUACUUUAUCUGAUAUUAAUACAACUACAUCAGCUUUUUUGUUAAUAUUUGCAUGGCAUAUCUUUUUCCAUCUUUUUACUUUUAGCCUUCUGUGGCUUCAUAUUAAAAGUGGAUCUCUUAUAGACAACAUGUAGUUAUUUUUUAAUACAUUCUGAUUUUGUGUUUUAACUGGAAUGUUUAGGCUGCUUACCUAUAAUAUAUAUUAUAUAGAUGGUAUAUUUGGUAUUUUGGGGCUUAAAUCUACCAUCUUACUUUUUGCUUUGUAUUUGUUCUUCCUGUUUUAUAUUGCUUUUUCUCUUUUCUCUUGCCCUCUUUUGAAAUGCAUAAUGGUUUUUUAUAAUUCCAUUUUCCCCAUUAUCUUGUUAAUUAUAGAUUCUAUUACUAUUCAUGUAGUGGUUACCUUAGAGAAUAAAAAAUACAUCCUAGACAUUACUCAAGCCUAGUAUAAAUUUUACAUUGUCUGACUAUAGCACACUCCUAAAUAAGUAUUAGAUCCCUUGCCUGCAUUCCGCACUCCAUCUGUGAUUCCAAAGCCUGUGAGAUUUUCUAUAUAUAUUACUGCCUUGGAGACCAAGUGAUGUUGGUCAUACACCUUGGCCCUUUAGCACAAAGAAAGGGAUUUUAUCUCCAUCAAGAGAGAUACAUAAACUGGUACCCAUAUAUACGCAUCAUUUCAUAAUAUAUGUGCACCAUUCCAAACAAAUGUAACACAGCCAUAUCCUGAGCUCUAGAAAUCUAGAAAUCCAUCAUCUAAAAGGGGAAGCAAUGCAGUAAAAUUGGAGUUGUGCAUAUUGGAGUCAGAGUAAGAUGGAACCUGGAAACGUUUUCACCCUCUCUUGACCUAUCUUCACUUAUUUUAUAGGUAUAACUUGACAUUCUUGAACCUACCACUUGAUGUUAGCAAAUCCUAGAAAGGGAUGGGCUGUUCUAGUUGUGGUAUUGUGGGUGUUCAUUCCCAUUCUCUCUCUGUUUUAAUAUAUUUUCUAAAUGUUCUACAAUGAACACAUUUUAUUUAUUUAUUUACUUAUUUGAGACGGAGUUUCACUCUUUUUGCCCAAGCUGGAAUGCAAUGGCGCUAUCUCAGCUCACUGCAACUUCCACCUCCCAGGUUCAAGUGAUUCUCCUGCCCCAGGCUCCCAAGUAGCUGGGAUUACAGGCACCCGCCACCACGCCUGGCUAAUUUUUUUUGUAUUUUUCAUCGAGACGGGGCUUCACCAUGUUGGCAAAGCUGGUCU
rnacentral:lncRNA from 1 species